rnacentral:tRNA from 1 species
GGCAAGAUGGCCGAGUUGGUUAUGGCGUGAGGUUAAGGUCACCUUAGCACAUUUCCUCAUGGAGCAAUCCGCGUGGGUUCAAGUCCCACUCUUGUCA